AUUGAACGCUGGCGGCAGGCCUAACACAUGCAAGUCGAGCGGAGCGGCGGACGGGUGAGUAAUGCCUAGGAAUCUGCCAGGUAGUGGGGGAUAAAGUCCGGAAACGGGCGCUAAUACCGCAUACUAUCAGAUGAGCCUAGGUCGGAUUAGUUAGUUGGUGGGGUAAAGGCCUACCAAGGCGACGAUCCGUAACUGGACUGAGAGGAUGAUCAGUCACACUGGAAAUGAGACACGGUCCAGACUCCUACGGGAGGCAGCAGUGGUGAAUAUUGGCCAAUUGGCGAAAGCCUGCUCCAGCCAUGCCGCGUGUGUGAAGAAGGUCUUCGGAUUGUAAAGCCCUUUAAGUUGGGAGGCGUUACCAACAGAAUACGCACCGACUAACUUCGUGCCAGCAGCCGCGGUAAUAC
rnacentral:rRNA from 1 species